GUUUCAAUUCCUUAUAGGUAAGAUCUAAAC
rnacentral:other from 1 species